rnacentral:rRNA from 1 species
UACAGAGGGUGCGAGCGUUAAUCGGAAUUACUGGGCGUAAAGCGUGCGUAGACGGUUUCGUAAGUCGGGUGUGAAAUCCCCGGGCUCAACCUGGGAAUUGCAUUCGAAACUGCGAGGCUAGGGUACGGAAGAGGGAAGCGGAAUUUCUGGUGUAGCGGUGAAAUGCGUAGAUAUCAGAAGGAACAUCAGUGGCGAAAGCGGCUUCCUGGUCCAGUACCGACGUUCAGGCACGAAAGCGCGGGGAGCAAACAGG